rnacentral:sRNA from 1 species
AGAGACGUGAACGGUCGUUGCAGAGAUUGCGGGCGGCUGAGACGCCGCCUGCCUGGCACCUAGGAGCGCAGCGGAGCCCCGACACCGCCGCCGCCAUGGAGUCCGAGACCGAACCCGAGCCCGUCACGCUCCUGGUGAAGAGCCCCAACCAGCGUCACCGCGACUUGGAGCUGAGUGGCGACCGCGGCUGGAGUGUGGGCCACCUCAAGGCCCACCUGAGCCGCGUCUACCCCGAGCGUCCGCGUCCAGAGGACCAGAGGUUAAUUUAUUCUGGGAAGCUGUUGUUGGAUCACCAAUGUCUCAGGGACUUGCUUCCAAAGCAGGAAAAACGGCAUGUUUUGCAUCUGGUGUGCAAUGUGAAGAGUCCUUCAAAAAUGCCAGAAAUCAACGCCAAGGUGUGUCUGCCUCUUCAUGAUGGUAACAAUUUGUAUCAUUCAGACUUUCAGGGGAGUAAUAAAAGAAGUUGGAUAAAACUUUUAUCGAGAGACUGUAUGGUGUUAUUACCAAGUAAUAUUUUGUUUCUUUCCUAGGAAUUAGAAACUGUAUUAUCAACACAAGUGUUGGGUU